UCUUUCAAGUUACAUUUUUAUGAAAAGGAAAAAAGAAGAAUCCACAUCAAAGCCCUUAUGGGAGAGACCACAGGUUUUCUGCAUGUGUCUUCUCUAGUAUAACAGUAGUCUGAUACCAAUCCUAAAAGAUGAAUUACUUAAAAGUUACACUUUCCAUUCUGACCCCUUGGAUUUAAAGCCAACUGUUGUGUCAUGUGUCUUUAAUCUGAAAUCCACAGCGAGGACCAGAAUUUACAUUCAUUUGUUUUCUGAUCUAGAGAAGAAGGGAAGGGGAAGUUACACACUUCGGUUCUGAAUGUUGCUUCUCCUUUGGAUACUUCGGUCAUGCAUCUUUAUUCAACUUUUUAAAAAAAUCAUAAAUAAGCAAAUGUAAGUGGUUCUAAUUUUUUUUUUUUCAGAAAAAUUACCUACAGAGUCAGCUAUAUGUCUUACCUACCUUAGACUUUAUUUGGAAACUAAGAGACUAGGCAAUUUCACAAUGUGCCAGUUUGGGGCAAGAGCUUUGUAAUAUGCAGAUGCUCCCAGAAAUAGAAGAUGAAGUUUGCAAGACCAAAUACUAUUUUUGCCUCUUUAAAGAAAAAUCAGGAGAUUCUAAAAAGGAGAUAUUCUAAGACUUCAACAACUAAAGGAAAUAAUGGAUUAACAAGUAAAGGAAGAUUUUUGAAUCCUGAAGAUCCUUCCCACUUCUUCUGCAAGAUGCCUUUGAAUAUCUUUUAGAAAAUAAAUUGCCCUCCUUCCUGACUUCAGCUAACUGGCUUGCAUGAGACUGAUACCACACUCAGCUGCUGGAGAUGACCUCGAAUGGUUUAAGCCAAUCAGCAUUAAAUUACAUCUUUUAAGGGGGAAUGGGUUUGGGCUGGGAGCUUGAAAACCUGUGAGUCUUGUUGGAGUCUCAAGACUUUUGCUUGGAAUUCUGGGGCUUGGAUGCCAUUUUCCCUUUUGGACUUGAAGGAAGAGGUCUAGAACCUUGAGAGUUGCCAGAGCCACCUUGGGAUUACCAGGAAAGAAGAUGCCCAAGGAAAGAAUUAACAGCACAAAAGCAGGACAUAGAAAGGAAAAGGCGAGAAGAAUGCUGUGCUGUUGGAAUAGAAUAAUUGAAAGGGCAAACCCUAACGUGGGGAAGUGGUGUGUGGAAAACAAAGAGGAGGGAGAAGUCUGACCUCACUGAGGGUGUCACCAUUCCCUACCAGCCUUUUACAUACAUGUCCUUCUAUACCUGCCAUCCUUCAGCCUCUGCUCAAAUGUCAGCCCUUCUGCAGAGCCUUCUCUGGUGAGUUAAAUUCCAGUGUCUGUGCUCUUGUGGUUAGCCGUGUUCGAUUUACCCCUCCGUCUCUGCCAUACAA